rnacentral:rRNA from 3 species
GGAUAACCUGCCCUUGGGACCGGCAUAACCCCGGGAAACUGGGGAUAAUUCCGGAUAACGCAUAUUUGCUGGAAUGCUUUAUGCGUCAAAAGGAUUCGUCUGCCCAAGGAUGGGUCUGCGGCCUAUCAGGUAGUAGUGGGUGUAAUGUACCUACUAGCCAGCGACGGGUACGGGUUGUGAGAGCAAGAGCCCGGAGAUGGAUUCUGAGACAUGAAUCCAGGCCCUACGGGGCGCAGCAGGCGCGAAAACUUUACAAUGCGGGAAACCGUGAUAAGGGGACACCGAGUGCCAGCAUCAUAUGCUGGCUGUCCGGAUGUGUAAAAUACAUCCGUUAGCAAGGGCCGGGCAAGACCGGUGCCAGCCGCCGCGGUAACACCGGCGGCCCGAGUGGUGAUCGUGAUUAUUGGGUCUAAAGGGUCCGUAGCCGGUUUGGUCAGUCCUCCGGGAAAUCUGAUAGCUCAACUAUUAGGCUUUCGGGGGAUACUGCCAGACUUGGAACCGGGAGAGGUAAGAGGUACUACAGGGGUAGGAGUGAAAUCUUGUAAUCCCUGUGGGACCACCUGUGGCGAAGGCGUCUUACCAGAACGGGUUCGACGGUGAGGGACGAAAGCUGGGGGCACGAACCGGAUUAGAUACCCGGGUAGUCCCAGCCGUAAACGAUGCUCGCUAGGUGUCAGGCAUGGCGCGACCGUGUCUGGUGCCGCAGGGAAGCCGUGAAGCGAGCCACCUGGGAAGUACGGCCGCAAGGCUGAAACUUAA